rnacentral:rRNA from 1 species
AGCGGAAGAUGGGAGCUUGCUCCCUGAUGUUACGGCGGACGGGUGAGUAACACGUGGGUAACCUGCCUGUAAGACUGGGAUAACUCCGGGAAACCGGGGCUAAUACCGGAUGGUUGUCUGAACCGCAUGGUUCAGACAUAAAAGGUGGCUUCGGCUACCACUUACAGAUGGACCCGCGGCGCAUUAGCUAGUUGGUGAGGUAACGGCUCACCAAGGCGACGAUGCGUACCCGACCUGAGAGGGUGAUCGGCCACACUGGGACUGAGACACGGCCCAGACUCCUACGGGAGGCAGCAGUAGGGAAUCUUCCGCAAUGGACGAAAGUCUGACGGAGCAACGCCGCGUGAGUGAUGAAGGUUUUCGGAUCGUAAAGCUCUGUUGUUAGGGAAGAACAAGUGCCGUUCAAAUAGGGCGGCACCUUGACGGUACCUAACCAGAAAGCCACGGCUAACUACGUGCCAGCAGCCGCGGUAAUACGUAGGUGGCAAGCGUUGUCCGGAAUUAUUGGGCGUAAAGGGCUCGCAGGCGGUUUCUUAAGUCUGAUGUGAAAGCCCCCGGCUCAACCGGGGAGGGUCAUUGGAAACUGGGGAACUUGAUUGCAGAAAAGGAGAGUGGAAUUCCACGUGUAGCGGUGAAAUGCUUACAGAUGUGGAGGAACACCAUUGGCAAACGCGACUCUCUGGUCUGUAACUGACUCUAAGGAGCGAAAACGUGCGGAGCGAACACGAUUAUAUACGCUG